AUGCCAUGCUGCUUGAGCAACUGGGUAUGUGAGUGGAUGGGUUGGGAGCCGUUCGCUUACCAGGUGAUGGGGCGGGAAAAAUACCCUAAAGAGUCGUGGCCGUGGGGGACCGCCUCCCCUCCUUGCCGUGCCAUGGACUCAGGGUCCGGGAGACUCGGAGCAGGGUCCCGACUCUGGGUGACAACACGGCACCCGCGGGAAGCCAAGGAAACAGAGUCAAAUGACAUCCCAGGGUUGCAAAAAAUAGAGAUCUGGAGCGGCGGAGCCAACCUCAACCAGAAGGUGGUGGCGGCGGUAGUGGUUGGACCCCUGGGGGCUGGAGGGCUCGGAUCUCCCGAGGCGGGACCCCCAGGCCCUUUGGGUGGUGCAGGAGAGCUCUGCCACCCCUCUGAGCUGCCAGGAGGUCAUGGUGGGGGGCACGCCUCUGAGCUGGGCCUUCUGGAGGGCACAUCUCUGAGCUGGGGGGUCACGAGAGCCACUCCCUUGAACAUAGGGAUCACAUGGACCUCCCACAACCUCUCGAGCUUUAGAGUCACCUCACGCAGCUCUGGGCCCUUCGGGACUCUGCCCUGCGCCAACCUCUCUCUUCGAGGUCCUCCCAGGACCGUGGUGCCUGCCUCCUCCCGCCAAAACAGUUCACCGGCAUCUGCUUGGCCCUGGGCUCCUGCCAGGUUCAGAGGGGCGGAGGGGAGCACACUGGGAUCACCUCUGCCCCGUGAGCUUUCCCAGCCUGGAGUGGGACAUCACCUGCCCUUCAACGAGAUGCUGGGGGACGGCGUAGGGGCGCCGGUGAAUCCAACGAGCCCCGCUUUCCGCUCCCUGGUCUCACGCGGUUGGUUCCUCGGGCGACGGGGGAGCUGGAAGAGGGGGGCUCCUUGUGCGAUGGGGCAGCUGUUGAGGCUAGAAGGGAAGUGGUUAGAUCUGUGGCCAGUUUGCACAAAGGCGUUUUAUCAUGAAAUGAGGCUUCCCAGGGCCCAGAGAGUGUUGACAGAGUCCUCCCUCCCUGUGGCUCUAAACCAACGGAUAGGUGCCCGCUGCCCUGGCCUGCACAUGCUCUGUUUGGUUUAG
rnacentral:lncRNA from 1 species